UACGGAGGGUGCAAGCGUUAUCCGGAUUCACUGGGUUUAAAGGGUGCGUAGGAGGACUGGUAAGUCAGUGGUGAAAUCCCCGAGCUUAACUUGGGAACUGCCGUUGAUACUAUCAGUCUUGAAUACCGUGGGAGGUGAGCGGAAUAUGUCAUGUAGCGGUGAAAUGCUUAGAUAUGACAUAGAACACCAAUUGCGAAGGCAGCUCGCUACACGAAAUAUUGACUCUGAGGCACGAAAGCGUGGGGGAUCAAACAGG
rnacentral:rRNA from 1 species